AGCAUUAAUUUUUCAAAUUUACGAAGUCGUUGGCUAAUUAUAACAUAACAUAUGAGCUAUAAGUUAUUUCAUGUUCUCGCUAAAUUGGAAAACCCGCAAACCGUCAGAUUAGAAAUUGUUGAGAUAAUAUUGCCCGGUGAAUGAAUCGAUCAAAAAAUGUUAAAGUGAUAAUAUAUAUUGAUUAAAACCAUUAUAUUGUACAUAGAAUCCUCACGACAUAAAUAUUUUCCGAUACUUGUCGUCAAAGUAAA